GACGAACGCUGGCGGCGCGCCUAACACAUGCAAGUCGAACGAGAGAUGAGGAGCUUGCUCUUUCAAAUCGAGUGGCGAACGGGUGAGUAACGCGUGAGGAACCUGCCUCAAAGAGGGGGACAACAGUUGGAAACGACUGCUAAUACCGCAUAAGCCCACGGCUCGGCAUCGAGCAGAGGGAAAAGGAGCAAUCCGCUUUGAGAUGGCCUCGCGUCCGAUUAGCUAGUUGGUGAGGUAACGGCCCACCAAGGCGACGAUCGGUAGCCGGACUGAGAGGUUGAACGGCCACAUUGGGACUGAGACACGGCCCAGACUCCUACGGGAGGCAGCAGUGGGGAAUAUUGCACAAUGGGGGAAACCCUGAUGCAGCGACGCCGCGUGGAGGAAGAAGGUCUUCGGAUUGUAAACUCCUGUUGUUGAGGAAGAUAAUGACGGUACUCAACAAGGAAGUGACGGCUAACUACGUGCCAGCAGCCGCGGUAAAACGUAGGUCACAAGCGUUGUCCGGAAUUACUGGGUGUAAAGGGAGCGCAGGCGGGAGAACAAGUUGGAAGUGAAGUCCAUGGGCUCAACCCAUGAACUGCUUUCAAAACUGUUUUUCUUGAGUAGUGCAGAGGUAGGCGGAAUUCCCGGUGUAGCGGUGGAAUGCGUAGAUAUCGGGAGGAACACCAGUGGCGAAGGCGGCCUACUGGGCACCAACUGACGCUGAGGCUCGAAAGUGUGGGUAGCAAACAGGAUUAGAUACCCUGGUAGUCCGCACCGUAAACGAUGAUUACUAGGUGUUGGAGGAUUGACCCCUUCAGUGCCGCAGUUAACACAAUAAGUAAUCCACCUGGGGAGUACGACCGCAAGGUUGAAACUCAAAGGAAUUGACGGGGGCCCGCACAAGCAGUGGAGUAUGCGGUUUAAUUCGACGCAACGCGAAGAACCUUACCAAGUCUUGACAUCCCUUGACGAUGCUGGAAACAGUAUUUCUCUUCGGAGCAAGGAGACAGGUGGUGCAUGGUUGUCGUCAGCUCGUGUCGUGAGAUGUUGGGUUAAGUCCCGCAACGAGCGCAACCCUUAUGGUCAGUUACUACGCAAGAGGACUCUGGCCAGACUGCCGUUGACAAAACGGAGGAAGGUGGGGAUGACGUCAAAUCAUCAUGCCCUUUAUGACUUGGGCUACACACGUACUACAAUGGCGUUAAACAAAGAGAAGCAAGACCGCGAGGUGGAGCAAAACUCAGAAACAACGUCCCAGUUCGGACUGCAGGCUGCAACUCGCCUGCACGAAGUCGGAAUUGCUAGUAAUCGUGGAUCAGCAUGCCACGGUGAAUAUGUUCCCGGGCCU
rnacentral:rRNA from 1 species